UGAAAGGCGAAACGUAAUGUGAAUCGCAACUAACAGUGAAUCAUCGAAUCUUUGAACGCAGGCCGCACCUUGCAAUAUCACUCCGUGUUAUUACAAGGUAUCUACGUAUGAGUGUCAGCCCAAUAUCAUUUUGGUUCAAGAAAAUAAUUUGGAAUAUAAUUCGUUUAUUUAUAAACGGUUUAUUGUUUCCUUAUGAAACACUUGAAUACAUUUUAUAAUGAAUAUGUCCAACAUAUUUUUUUACAAUAUGUCUGGCCUCAUAUGUGGAAGGUUACCCGCUGGAUUUAA
rnacentral:misc_RNA from 1 species